ACAGAGGUGGCAAGCGUUGUUCGGAAUUACUGGGCGUAAAGGGCGCGUAGGCGGCCCUCUAAGUCAGACGUGAAAUCCCCCGGCUUAACCUGGGAACUGCAUCCGAUACUGGAGGGCUAGAGUGUGGGAGAGGGAUGCGGAAUUCCAGGUGUAGCGGUGAAAUGCGUAGAUAUCUGGAGGAAUACCGGUGGCGAAGGCGGCGUCCUGGACCAUGACUGACGCUGAGGAGCGAAAGCCAGGGGAGCAAACGGGA
rnacentral:rRNA from 1 species